CCUCCCAAAGAACUGCCACUCCAGGUUCCUGUCUGCAAGCACCUCUUGACCACAGGAACAGUGUCUGCUUUGGUUUCUGCAGACAGGAUGGAUCCCCAGCAUUGGAUCAUCAGAGAUUCAUGUUCUGUAGUACCAAGAAGCAUUUGUGAACUCCGAAAGACCAAUCAGGUGCCGAUCCGAUCCGAUCCAAUCACACAAGAGUCUUUAUUCAUAAGUUCAAACUCGGGCUUAAGUCACGCUGACACACAGGAUGGUUUCGGUGGAUAAAAGCCACAAACACUCCUCAGGACAAGGUUUUAUAGGAAAUAUCAAGAGAAGGCAGCCAGAAUCUAGCACUUCAGAAACAAAGUACCAGAGAAACAAAUGGGCAGCAAACAUCAACUCUGAAAUACAUUGUCUCUGAUCUAUGCAGCUUGGAUAGUGAAUUUCUUUCCAUAAAUAGUUAAUAAGCAGCAGCUGAUGUAUAACUCCUCUUUGGCUAAAACAAAAUGACUGAUAUAAAUGGACUGUCCUAAUAGACAUUAAAAGCAAGGAACUCUGAAGGCUUUUCAUGUUUCCUGGAGAAGGUUACAUUUCCUCCUAUGCUUGAACACAUUUUUUUUUGGACUAAUUUCAAGAUGCAAUGUAUUCAGAUAUUUUCUGUAAGCACUGAAUUGCUAUAUUGAAUUGGAUGGUAUGCAGCUUUAUUCUGUCACCUCACAUAUGAUAAAACUCUGCCUUGAUUGAAACUGGAAUCAGAUGUGAUAAAAACUAAAUUCUUGCUAGCAGAGAGAUAGCCAUGCUUGUAACCCGGGUCAGCAGUGAGUUGUAUAUUGAUAUGAGCAAGUUACUGGAACUUUUGCUCAUUUCCCUUUUUUGGUAAAGGAGAAUAUCAAUGAAAGCCACACCACAGGGCCACAGAGCUCUUAAGAAAGGAGGAAGAAGCACUAGGAACAGUGUGUUUCUUUUGAAGUAUUACUUGCUAAGUACCAGCUCUCACAAGAGGACUAUUUCCAUGCUAGGUCACAACUCUAAUAUGCAUGAAGUACACUAUUGUGGCAAUGCAAAGUUUUUCUCAUACCUUUAUUGUGAUCAUUAUUUCAACCCACAGUAUAUGAUCUCCCUUAAUUAUUUUUACAUUUUCCAAAAAUGGGGUCAAAUGAUUUAGUGAAUAAUAGAGUAAAAUUAAUGUUCAUGAGUCUUCAAAACUAUGUGUUAAUAUAACGCAGGUAUCUACUGUCUUUGGUUGAGAAAUCCUAAGCCUGAACUUAAUUUUCUUAAUGCAGGAAGUACCUUUGCCAAUUGAGCCAUUUUGCUGGCCUGGAUUAGCAUUUCCAUUGUAUAAAGAGAUUAAAAUUAAUUCUGACUUUCCACUGAAUUAUUGUUAAAGAACGGUAGUAGACAGCUCAUAGUUCUUAUGGAGUGCCUACUACCAUCAUUCUGUUCAAGUGGGCAUAUAAUAAACUGACUCCUAAUAACUUAUCAUCAAAGAAGAUCUUUCUUAGUGUUUUAUAGAUAGGAAACAACACAAAGACCUACAACUGGUCAAGGCAUAGAGGGAACAAGAGGCUAAGGAAGACUCAACACUAACUGGAACAUAUAUAUUCCAUCUCCUCCUCUUAAGGUUGAAAGAUCAUUGCAGAAUAAGGGUGUAGAAAGAUUUUAAUACCCAAAAUUGUGAAUCACUACAGCAAGUCUUUUUCAAGAAACAUAUAUG